AGCUAUAAGAAAAUUUAUUUUUAGUAAAACCUGCCCAGUGAAUUUUUUUAAACGGCCGCAGUACCAUGACUGUGCUAAGGUAGCAUAAUAAAUUGGCUUUUAAUUAGAGUCUGGAAUGAAUGGAUUUUUAAAGUUUAGCUGUCAUAAUAAUAAUAAUUUUAACUUAUUUAUUUGGUGAAAAUACCAAAUUUUUUUUAAAAAGACGAGAAGACCCUAAGAAUUUAUAUUUUUUUUUGUUGGGGCGACAAAAAGACAAAAAAUUAACUCUUUAUUUUCUUUUUUAUAUAACGAAAAUUAUUAAAAAUAAACAAAUUACCUUAGGGAUAACAGCAUAAUUAGUUUUUUUUUCUGUUUAUGACCUCGAUGUUGGACUAGAAUCUUUUUUAGCUAGUCGCUAAAAAAUUAUGUUCUGUUCGAACAAUAAUUUUUCU
rnacentral:rRNA from 1 species